rnacentral:misc_RNA from 1 species
AAAGUCGUAACAAGGUCUCCGUAGGUGAACCUGCGGAGGGAUCAUCAAAGAAUUUAACAUAAAAACCCACAAGUGUUUGAGGGGGGAAAAGAAAGAGAGAGAUUUCUUUCUUUCUCCUCUCAAACACUUUAAACAAACGAUCGCAACUAAAACUAAAUGAAUUGGGAGAGGGAAAUAACAAGAAACGUUUGCCUGAUAAACAUUGGAUUGGAAAAAAAGAGAAAUAUACAACUUUCAACAACGGAUCUCUUGGCUCUC